rnacentral:rRNA from 1 species
CUACGGAGGAUCCGAGCGUUAUCCGGAUUUAUUGGGUUUAAAGGGUGCGCAGGCGGCCAUUUAAGUCAGCGGUUAAAUCGUGGGGCUCAACCCCAUUCUGCCGUUGAUACUGGGUGGCUUGAUUGCGGUCGAGGUUGGCGGAAUUCGUUGUGUAGCGGGGAAAUGCAUAGAUAUGACGAAGAACACCGAUUGCGUAGGCAGCUGACCAGACCGCAAAUGACGCUCAUGCACGAAAGUGCGGGGAUCGAACAGGAUUAGAUACCCUGGUAGUCCGCACAGUAAACGAUGAAUACUUGUUUUCGGCGAUAUAAUGUCGGAGGCAAAGCGAAAGCGAUAAGUAUUCCACCUGGGGAGUACGCCGGCAACGGUGAAACUCAAAGGAAUUGACGGGG